UAUUAUUUCAUGAUGAUUGCAACAUGUUUGUGGCUUUUUAGUUGGGUUCUUUUGUGGAGUCUCUCUCCUUCUCUCAGAGAUUGGGCGGCUCCUCCCAAACCUGCACCUUCACACCCUCACACCUGCACCUGAUCUCUGCAAUCACCACCUGCAUUUAAGCCCUGCUGGGAGGCUUCUCCAGUGCCAGAUUAUUCCUGCAUCUGAAGUGUGCCUCCACGAGCCCCCAGUGCUUUUUCCCUAUCGCUGCCACACUGCCUCACUCUCUACCUGGAUUUAUUCACAAGCCUCCACCUCUAGUCCUCACGCCUUGGACCCUGGAUCCCUUCCCCGCUCCCUUUGUUUCAUACAAUAAAUUCACUGAACUGCG